UGGGGAAUAUUGCACAAUGGGGGAAACCCUGAUGCAGCGACGCCGCGUGGAGGAAGAAGGUCUUCGGAUUGUAAACUCCUGUUGUUGAGGAAGAUAAUGACGGUACUCAACAAGGAAGUGACGGCUAACUACGUGCCAGCAGCCGCGGUAAAACGUAGGUCACAAGCGUUGUCCGGAAUUACUGGGUGUAAAGGGAGCGCAGGCGGGAAGACAAGUUGGAAGUGAAAUCUAUGGGCUCAACCCAUAAACUAGCUUUCAAAACUGUUUUUCUUGAGUAGUGCAGAGGUAGGCGGAAUUCCCGGUGUAGCGGUGGAAUGCGUAGAUAUCGGGAGGAACACCAGUGGCGAAGGCGGCCUACUGGGCACCAACUGACGCUGAGGCUCGAAAGUGUGGGUAGCAAACAGGAUUAGA
rnacentral:rRNA from 1 species